UACGUAGGGUGCGGGCGUUGUCCGGAAUUAUUGGGCGUAAAGAGCUCGUAGGCGGUGUGUCACGUCGGCCGUGAAAACCUGCAGCUUAACUGUGGGCGUGCGGUCGAUACGGGCAUCACUGGAGUUCGGCAGGGGAGACUGGAAUUCCUGGUGUAGCGGUGAAAUGCGCAGAUAUCAGGAGGAACACCGGUGGCGAAGGCGGGUCUCUGGGCAGUAACUGACGCUGAGGAGCGAAAGCGUGGGGAGCGAACAGG
rnacentral:rRNA from 1 species